CAGUAGCCCGGUAAUACGUAGGGUGCAAGCGUUAAUCGGAAUUACUGGGCGUAAAGCGUGCGCAGGCGGUUAUAUAAGACAGAUGUGAAAUCCCCGGGCUCAACCUGGGAACUGCAUUUGUGACUGUAUAGCUAGAGUACGGCAGAGGGGGAUGGAAUUCCGCGUGUAGCAGUGAAAUGCGUAGAUAUGCGGAGGAACACCGAUGGCGAAGGCAAUCCCCUGGGCCUGUACUGACGCUCAUGCACGAAAGCGUGGGGAGCAAACAGGAUUAGAUACCCGGGUAGUCCCUGUCUCUUAUACA
rnacentral:rRNA from 1 species